CCCUUAGAUGUUCUGGGCCGCACGCGCGCUACACUGUUCGACGCAGCGAGUCUUAACCUUGACCGAAAGGUUUGGGUAAUCUUCAGCAAAGUCGAACGUGAUGGGGAUCGAUCAUUGCAAUUAUUGAUCGUGAACGAGGAAUUCCAAGUAAGUGCAAGUCAUCAGCUUGCGCUGAUUACGUCCCUGCCCUUUGUACACACCGCCCGUCGCUACUACCGAUUGAAUGGUUUAGUGAGAUCUCUGGAUUGACGCUGGCUAGGGGGCGACCCUUGGCCAGGCUGUCGAGAAACUGCUCAAACUUGAUCAUUUAGAGGAAGUAAAAGUCGUAACA
rnacentral:rRNA from 1 species